rnacentral:rRNA from 1 species
UACGUAGGGUGCAAGCGUUGUCCGGAAUUAUUGGGCGUAAAGAGCUCGUAGGCGGUCUGUCGCGUCGGCUGUGAAAACCCGGAGCUCAACUCCGGGCCUGCAGUCGAUACGGGCAGACUGGAGUUCGGCAGGGGAGACUGGAAUUCCUGGUGUAGCGGUGAAAUGCGCAGAUAUCAGGAGGAACACCGGUGGCGAAGGCGGUGGUCUGGGCCUGAACUGACGGCUGGAGGAGCGAAAGCCAGGGGAGCAAACGGGA